UCUGGAGCUGUGAACUUUAAGUCCGAUCGCUGUGUGUGUUGGCGAGUACGAGGAAACGACCAAGUGGGAAUUGAUAGGGGUCACUCCCCGUUUAAAGAGGCAAUCACUGCUCACGUGCAUGCAACAGCAGCAGAGAUGCAAUUAUUGCAGCGUUGAGAAGAGUGUUCCUGUGGCCAGAAGAGAUCUGAAAUGUGAUAGAUCAAAUUCUGUUUCAUUAUUUAUUGGUAUUGCUCUUACUGACACUUGCAUUGAUUCUGUAACAGUAGUAUCCAUACUUUGGGCAUCAAGCCACCAACCCCUAACAACCAGCACUGCAGAGCUUAAAUGUGAUACAGAUGAUUGACAGAAUUUAUAUUUAUACUGUGAUGUUCCAUUAAAAAAAAAAAAAAAAAACUAACUAAAGUAACUAUUUGCUUAAUCAUCCAAAAGUUGUGUGCUUUUGUUUUAUAAGUUAGAAAACAACGGUUGUAACCCUUAUAAUAACGGCUACAAAGAAGUAGCUACAAACAAAGCUGGCAGGCAUGAUAAUUCAUAAUGCUGUCAUCAGUCCUGUCACUUGUCUUGUCACUUUCAGACUAUUAACCUGCACCUGAAUAAAACUUCAAACGUGCAGCAACACCUUGCUAUUAUCUCAGUGCACGCAAAUUCCAUACAGUGCAUCUGAAAGCUGGAGCACAUCCAGCACAGGAAACAAGACACACAGGAAAUCAGUGUUUCAUAUUAUACAUACAACAUAACAAAAGAAAUGGCUGGAAGAUGUCCAGAGGACUCCUAUGGUAUUUUUUUAUUUUAAAAAAAGCAGAGUGCUCAAAGACUUAUUUUUACAAGGCAGCUCAAAUGGACUUUUGCCAGAUUAUGAAGACAAUAUGGUAUUCCUAAUUAAGUAAAAUAGCCCCAUUCAAGAAUACAGUAAUUAACAAAUCUUGUCUUUUCUGCCUCUAGUGGAAGGUGUCAUGGUUUAUCAGUAAUUUGUGCAGCUAAAACAUAAAGAUCAGAAUGACUGAUGCAAAGUGUUACAGCACACCUGUGCUUGUCUUAAAACAGGUGUUUCCCCUUCAGGCUGCAUGAUAGAGCUUAAACACAGUC